UAGGGAAUAUUGGUCAAUGGGUGAGAGCCUGAACCAGCCAUGCCGCGUGCAGGAAGAAGGCCUUCUGGGUUGUAAACUGCUUUUGCCAGGGGAUAAAACGGGAGUGCGCUCCUAAUUGAAGGUACCUGGUGAAUAAGCCACGGCUAACUACGUGCCAGCAGCCGCGGUAAUACGUAGGUGGCAAGCGUUGUCCGGAUUUAUUGGGUUUAAAGGGUGCGUAGGCGGCUCCUUAAGUCAGUGCUGAAAUACUCUAGCUUAACUAGAGGGGUGGCAUUGAUACUGAGGAGCUUGAGUAGAGUCGAGGUAGGCGGAAUUGACGGUGUAGCGGUGAAAUGCUUAGAUAUCGUCAAGAACACCGAUAGUGUAGACAGCUUACUAGGCUUCAACUGACGCUGAGGCACGAAAGUGUGGGGAUCAAA
rnacentral:rRNA from 1 species